rnacentral:rRNA from 1 species
UACGGGGGGGGCAAGCGUUGUUCGGAAUUACUGGGCGUAAAGGGCUCGUAGGCGGCCAACUAAGUCAGACGUGAAAUCCCUCGGCUUAACCGUGGAACUGCAUCUGAUACUGGAUGGCUUGAGAUUGGGAGAGGGAUGCGGAAUUCCAGGUGUAGCGGUGAAAUGCGUAGAUAUCUGGAGGAACACCGGUGGCGAAGGCGGCAUCCUGGACCAACACUGACGCUGAGGAGCGAAAGCCAGGGGAGCAAACGGG